UUAUUUCUUGAUAAAACCCUCGCAGAAUUUUCGAUAUUCGAAGGAAAUUCUCCCUAUUUACAAAUCAGGAAACACCGUAGGGGAAAAAGGGGAAUAGAUUAGAAGAGCUUUCUGUUUGAGAUUCUGAGCAAGUAUUCCAACAAAGAUCUUUCUCUUUUUAUAAAGGGAACAUCUGAUCGAGACAUACAAGUGUAGAGUCGGAGAGCGCAAAGAAGCCGGAGGGUGAUCCGAGCACCGGACGACGGCGGAGGAUAGUGAUCGACAACAACAAUCUCUUGGAAAAACACGGAGGAGCAUCAACGAUAUUCAAGAGCCGGUGCAUAAAACGCACUUGUUAACUUGGAUCUUGCGCAUUUUGAUCCCGUGAUUGAAAGGACUUUCUGAAGACGCCAACGAGAGAGCGCGCAUAACCAAACAAUAGCCAUGGCAGAGAUCGAGUUGAAUGAGCAGAAUGGCCCGGAAGAACGGGCUGAGCAAUCCAGACCCAUGAGUUACUAUUUCGUUCCACGCAUUGAGGCCGGUCGAUCGAGUAUUCAAGCGCCGGUAAUCGAGGCGGAUAACUUUGAGAUCGACCGAUGUCUUAUUGAGAUCAUCCAGAAAUCCAUUGUGUUCAGUGGUUUACUGAACGAUGAUCCCAUUAUACACCUGCAUAAGUUCGUGGAAAUAUGCGAUACGGUUAGGUAGGACGGCGUAUCCUCAGAUGCGGUCUGGCUGAGGCUUUUUACAUUCUCCCCGAAGGAUAGGGCCAAAGCUUGGCUUUAUUCCAUGCCGGCUGGGUCAAUUACCAUAUGUACUCAAUUCGAAAAAAAGUUUAUGGCCAAGUACUUCCCACCACCAUUGGCAAUAAAGAUGAGGAAAGACAUCAUAAACUUCACACCACACUAGUUCGAGUCAUUGGCAGAAGCAUGGGAGAGGUUCAAACAAUUGCAGAGAAGACGUGCUAGGACGGUCUUCCCCGGUGGAUGAAGUUGCAUUCAUUCUAUUACGGCCUAAUAGAGCACAGUCGUAUCACUCCUGAUGCAGCGACAGGAGGCGAUUUGAUGAGUAAGACAGUCAAUGAAGCAUAUGAGCUCUUGGAGCAGAUGACUCAGGACAACUAUCAAUGCCCGUCUGAGACAAUGAACCUGACAAGUGAAGCUACUGUACGCGAGCUUGAUGUGAUGGCAUCACUUCAUGCAUAAUUAGCAGUAUUGAACAAGAAAUGCGAUGCUUUGAACAUUAAAGCCAUCCAAGUUAUACCUUUGAUCGAGAACAGUGGAGAGGAGUAUCUGACCGAGCAAUGUACGAUGAACAUGGAAGCAGCAAAUUAUCAUAUUGGCAAUCAAAGGAAUAACCAGUUUGCCCACAUCUAUAAUUCCCAGUUGGAAGGAUCACCCGAACUUCUCAUGGAGCAACAAGCAAAGCAGGACUCUCAGGAGCAGGAGCGAGUCAAGUACCCGAAUUUGCAACACAACCUUGAGUUUCGGCUCCUGAUAAGAAGCCUGACUUUGACGAGGUCAUGAUGCAGUAUGCUGCAAAAAUUGAUGCACUCAUUAGAACUCAGAACAGUUGCAUUCAGAGUCAAGCAGCAUCACUCAAGGCGUUGGAACUUAGAGUGGGUCAAAUUGAAGGAGCGACGAAUGACAGACCGCAAUGGAUGUCACCGAUGGAUGUCGCCGAGUAGGGAUGACAAUGGGUUUGUGUGAGCGGGUUUUUCACCUGCCUGAAAUCCUGGUAGGUAAUUAAAGGUUUUGUUUAUUGAACCGUGGAACGGGUUUGGUAUAAUUAGAAGUUAAAAUCCGAUUGAGAAGGGUUCAAGAUUUUGUUUUAGAACCCAUCCCAAACCUGUUAAGAGUGAAAUUACUAAAUUAUCAUAUUGACUAAAUUAUUUUACUGAA